rnacentral:lncRNA from 1 species
CAUGGCUAGUUUUUUGAAACUUAUGACGCUUUACUUGAAAUGAUUGAACUUUGUUUAUUGCUUGUGUUCUCUUUUCUCUUGUUUUUUUUAUAUUUUAUUUUCAGUUUAAAUCUAAGAAUACCUAAUUUAUCAUAUACUAUUUCAACUUAUAUUGCUGGGUAUGCUGAUUGGGCAUCCAUGUGUGCAAAACUCAUCGUCACAUCAUAGAAAACAAAUUUGCAAUGAUCAAGGUCGAACAAACUAUAAACUACUAGCUAAAAGCAUGUGCGUGUUGCUACGACAUAGAAGAAAAUCGAAUUAGAGUGUUAAUAAAAAAUGUUCGUGCUGUACAUACACGUCACAAUAGUUUGUAACUAUAUUAACGACUGCUUGGAGGCUGUAUGUGUAUACACAUUUGUGAUGUCCAAUACAUGUAGAGCGAACAGUUAGCACAGUUUUGUUGGGCGGCUGUUGUUGCAAUUAUUGCGAACAGAGAACAGUUUUGCUGUGGUUGUUGUUGCAAACAGUUAGCACUUUUUUUCUUUUCAUUUAGACACAUAUACUAACUAACUCCAUCUUGAUCACCAGGUGUAUAUGCAUGCAAGGCCUAGGCACCAUGGAGUAUCUCAGUAUCCACAUGGCCGGAGGGAGAAGGGUUGACCUUCACAGCUAACAGUUGCGCAUGCAUGCAUGGAUGGAUCCAUUGACUCUGAAAGGUCAACAACCUGGCCAUCAGCGAAACACAGA